rnacentral:rRNA from 1 species
GAUGAACGCUGGCGGCGUGCCUAACACAUGCAAGUCGAGCGAACAGACGAGGCGCUUGCUGGUCGGACGUGAGAGGCGGACGGGAGAGUAACACGAGGAUAACCCACCUAUAAGACUGGGAUAAUCUCGGGAAACCGGAGCAAAUACCGGAUAAUAUAUUGAAGCACAGGGUUCAAUAGUGAAAGACGGCUUUGCUGUCACUUAUAGAUGGAUCCGCGCGGCAGUAGCUAGUUGGUAGGGUAAAGGGCUACCAAGGCGAGGAUGCGUAGCAGACCGGUGAGGGUGGUCGGCCGCCCUGGAACGUGGACAGGCCCCAUGCGCCUACGGGAGGCGGCAGUAGGCAACCGGCGGCAAGGGGCGAAAGCCUUGCGGAGCAGGGCCACGUGUGUGAUGAAGGUCUUCGGAGCGUAAAACUCUGUUAUUAGGGAUGAACAGAUGUGUAAGUUGCUAUGCACGUCUUGACGGUACCUACUCAAGAAGCCACGGCUAACUACGUG